GACGAACGCUGGCGGCGUGCUUAAAAACAUGCAAGUCGAACGGACUUCUCAUGAAGCUUGCGAUUGAGAAGUUAGUGGCGGACGGGUGAGUAACGCGUGGGCAACCUGCCCCUGAGCCCGGGAUAACAGUUCGAAAGGACUGCUAAGACCGGAUAUACUUGCGGUGAAGCAUUUCACUGCAAGGAAAGGGAACGCUCAGGGAUGGGGCCCGCGUCCCAUUAGCUAGUUGGUGAGGUAACGGCCCACCAAGGCGACGAUGGGUAGCCGGCCUGAGAGGGUGAACGGCCACACUGGGACUGAGACACGGCCCAGACUCCUACGGGAGGCAGCAGUUGGGAAUCUUCGGCAAUGGGCGCAAGCCUGACCGAGCAACGCCGCGUGAGUGAUGAAGGUUUUCGGAUUGUAAAGCUCUGUCUUCCGGGACGAUAAUGACGGUACCGGAGGAGGAAGCCACGGCUAACUACGUGCCAGCAGCCGCGGUAAGCAUACUCGUA
rnacentral:rRNA from 1 species